GGCCAUACAGAGAAGCUUAGCUUCUGCCAAUAAAGUGACACGUACUACCUUAGUGUUCAUAGGCAGAUAAAGCUGAGGCAGAAUCAAUAACAGAAUUAAGCAGCUGAGUGGGACAUAUAAAUCAGCAGGAUCCCAGUACUUAAAAGGAUGUAACUUUAACUAAAUUGGCAAGAGCGAUAAAGAAUGAAGGCAGACCAUAUUUUAAGGUUUGGCUGCCACCCGAUGAUGGGAAUUACAAAUCAACAACAGCUGGAGAGAACCCUGAUGUAAAUAAGAGUGAAAAUAUCCAACCUCAAUACAGAAGACUGCCCUAUGCUGCUUGUGUGUGCCAUACUCUGCCUGCCUACCCAGCACCACAUCAUCAAAUCAUUAUCACAAACAAUGACAAGAAAUCCAGUGACAUGAUAUACACCAGAACUGCAGCUAUUUGCAAAGACUUCCGAUUGUACCUUUAAAUGAAUGAAGACCAUAGCUCAAAUCAUUCCGACAAACACUUGGCAAGGAACAGGCAAUAUGCUAUUAAACUGAUUACUGCAAAGUCCUUUUGCAAAAUUUCUGCAGUUCAGCAUUCAAUUAUUCUAAUGUGUAUUUACCAACAAUUGAUAUGUUUAUGUUUUUAAUUACCUCCAUGUAGCUAAAACUGCUUAUGCCUUACAUUAUGUGCUGUAAUAUUUGUAUGUCACAGUACAGCGAGAUUCAGCAGGAUUAGCAAAAUAACAGCAACUAAUAUUACAGACGAAUGGAAAGACUUACUGA